UCUUUUCAGACUAUAAAACCUUGAAGAUUAAUAAGUUAAUGCCACUCUUCGUCAUUCCAAUGGGAUAUAGUAGUGGCACAGCACUCCUGGUAUUCUGAAACUAUGGUAUAUACCUGUGGUGGAACAUCCCAAAAGAUAUUUCCAAUAACAGGGAGAGAACAACACCAGAGGAAUAUGAUGACCUGUUUUUUAACCAGCUGUGUAAAACUGCCAGUCUCCCUACCAACUCUGAAAUUGUACCAACCAGGUCCUCUAUGAGUUUUCAGUUUAAUUUAUUUGCAAACAUAUUUUUAUUUUUUAGAUUAAUUUAUUUUAUUGGGCAACAAAGAACAGCCUAUCCAAAAAGUGUAUUGAUUAAAUAAAAACAAUUUGAUAAGCACACUUCAGCAACAGGAGUGUCUCAGUUAUCUCAAAUUAUAGAUGUAAAAUAUGUCUCAAGAUGGUUUAUUUUAGAAAAUGCCAUUACCCAAUAAUAUACUGUACAGACACUGCUUUAAAAAUAGGCAAGAAAGUACAAAAAUAUUCAGUUUUCUUUUGACACGUUUAUUCUUGCAGUUUGUAUUCUUUACUUAAGAAUCCCUAAAUGUACUUAAUAUCACUUUUGUUUCUUUUUUUCCCAUUGGCUGAGCAGUCGGUCCUUGUAUUAUCUAUGUUUAGCUUAUAUCAUUGUGUCUGCUGUUAAACUAAUUGCCAACAUUUACUCUAGGAAGGCUAAAUGUAUGAUAAAUUGGUUGAAUGUACAGUACUAUGCAGGUACAUCUAAAUCUGCCUUAAUUAAAAUUAUUUUUAUGAGGACCUUAAGUCGUUGGCCUGCUUGAAAAAGAAAGAUCUGCUGCAAAUGGUGUGACAAGGUUUGCACGAUUUAUUUUGUACAGCACAGAACGCAUUCCUAUGUAUAAUCGGAUGCAAAGGCAAGUAAUUUUUAAACCUAGCACAUUUAAUUUAAUACUCAGGCCAAGCCUUAGCAUGUUGUAUAUACUGUAUGUAUAUCAUGGUGUCAUUCAAAUGUAUUUUGCACAGAACAAAAAUUGACAAAGAGUCUGAAGCAAAUAUUGAUCAAAAAGAAGAUGCGCAGAAACAAGGCAUGUAAUAUGAAAAGGUGAUUGGUACCAAAAUAUACUUGUAUGUAACAAAGGAUAUUUGUACAGAAUCAAUAUAAUGGCUAAAUUAUUAAGUUGUGUUAUUUUCAGUAAACUGUAGCCAUAUGGCACUCAAAAACACUUGCAUUAGCCUUUAAGACUCCAAGUUUGUUCCAUUUAUGAAUAAUGUUCACAAGACACAGAAAACUGAUGUUACAGUAAGUUAAGCUAGUUAACUUUAUGAAUUAUCUAGUUAUCUUUAUUAUUAAAAUAAUUGAUAUGGAAUCAAAAAGACAACAUGUCUGAGUCCUGGCUAGUUAUCUAACUUAGGAUGGAUGCUGGUGGGCAAAAUUCACAUUAUACUGUAUUUGUGUAAAAAGAAAAAUCAGAUGAUCUACUUCUGGUCAAAUCACAACAUUGUAAUUCACAAUGACCAGGCCCUCAUGAGGUUAAUUAUUAAUAAGAGAAAGAGAUAGCACAAUAAUUUUACAAUGCUGUGAGAUAUAUAUUUAAUAUAGAGUGAAAAAAAUGUAAGUUUGAAAAGAAAAAGAGAACAGCCACUACUCCUCAGUAUUUCAGACACAGAGACACACGGGGGGAUUGCUGUCUAACUGUCCUAGCAAGAAAACAUAUUUGAAAUAAACUUGAUUACUAAAGAAUAAAUUGAAAAGGUUUGUAAAAUGUUUCCCUACGUUACUAUUAAUAAAUUUGUACUUUUUGUGACUUUCUGUUAGAAUCAAUCUUUUUUGUAUUUUGGAAAGUUUGUCAUUAUUUGCAGAUUAAAUAUGCAAGUGUCUCUGAGAUUGUCUAAACUAAUAUCCAUUUGAACUUCAAACUUUCAAAGCUGACCCCUGGUAUAUACUUUUACUGUGUGUAUUCCAGGGUGUGCCUAUAUAGUUCAAGCUGUUAAAGGACAGUAGCUGUUAUAUGAAGUAUUAUAAACAAUAAUUAAAGCCUUCACUAAACCCUCAGUGCCUUACACAGCUUGAUAACAAAUAAGUUUUACCUUUCUUUCAACUUGUGUAUUUGCAUAGUUCAAGAUCUCUUAUGUAUUCUGUAAACAAGAGACCAGAGUUUAAAAUUGCAGUGUCAGCACUCAAACACUAGGUUAUCUAAUGGAUUUUAUGGAUUUAGUUUAGACUCAGGAAACCAUAUUGUGAAUAUUUGUAUUAAAUCAUGUUUAUUUCUUGUAUAUUUUAUAAAAGGGUCUAUUGUAAAUAUAUGCAAGAGUUAUAAAUAACAGCUUUUAGCUUCUGGCUAUACAGGUCAAAAGUAUGUAAUUUGUUUUGUGAUCUGCAUUAUAAUCACUUAAUAUUCAUACCUUAAUUAUUUAAUGUUUGGUUAAGUGAGAAACAAAUAAUUUUCAGCCCUUAAACCGGGACUAUUUGUUGAUCAGCUACAAGAUUUUACACAUAUUUUUGUAUUGUGAUCCAUGUAUAUUAGCUCUUUCUAUUCAUUUGUAAAAUGCAUAUAUUAUUGUAAUUUUUUUAAUAAAACAUAAUUGUUUUAUUGCUUCAUGAUCCCUUUGACAUUACAUUUAAUAUUAAAAUACUGUAUACAGUCU
ensembl:lincRNA